rnacentral:rRNA from 1 species
GAGACUCUGUGCGCGUGCAUAUCAAUAAGCGGAGGAAAAGAAACUAACAAGGAUUCCCUUAGUAACGGCGAGUGAAGCGGGAAGAGCUCAAAUUUGAAAUCUUCAAGGUUCUACCUUGACGAAUUGUAGUUUAUAGAAGUGUUUUCUGUUAGUGGAGUGGCAAAAGUUCUUUGGAAUAGGACAUCAUAGAGGGUGAGAAUCCCGUAUUUGGUCAUUCCUCCUAGCGUUGUGAUACACUUUCAACGAGUCGGAUUGUUUGGGAAUGCAGUCCAAAAUGGGUGGUAAAUUUCAUCUAAAGCUAAAUAUUGGCGAGAGACCGAUAGCGAACAAGUACCGUGAGGGAAAGAUGAGAAGAACUUUGAAAAGAGAGUUAAACAGUACGUGAAAUUGUCAAAAGGGAAGCGUUUGACACCAGUGUUGCUUUUCCGAAAAUCAAUUACGAAUGUUUUGUUUUUGAGGAGUUAUGACUUCAUCGGCUUGCUCCUUUCUUUAUGAAACUUUCUUAAUGCACUUUUCGGUUAACAAGUCAACAUCAAUUUCUUUUGUUGUAAAAGGGUAUGAGGAAGGUGGCUUUCUUUUCGGAGAAAGUGUUUAUAGCCUUGUGCCUCUGCAAUCGGAGAGAUUGAGGUCUGCAGCGUAGUUCCUUCGGGGUUAGAUACAUUUGUGCUAAGUUAUAGCUUUUCAUAGACAACUUGUUGACUAUGUUUAGUCUUGUAGCUUACUCGCUGACGCUAUUUUACCUACGCUUAGGAUGUUGACAGCAGUAUAGACUGU